UACGUAGGGUGCAAGCGUUGUCCGGAAUUACUGGGCGUAAAGAGCUCGUAGGUGGUUUGUCACGUCGUCUGUGAAAUUCCACAGCUUAACUGUGGGCGUGCAGGCGAUACGGGCUGACUUGAGUACUGUAGGGGUAACUGGAAUUCCUGAUGUAGCGGUGAAAUGCGCAGAUAUCAGGAGGAACACCGAUGGCGAAGGCAGGUUACUGGGCAGUUACUGACGCUGAGGGGCGAAAGCAUGGGU
rnacentral:rRNA from 1 species